UAAGUAUCAAGAGAGCAGGGAGGGAACGAGCCCAAUGAUCUGCCGACAACCCCCGCGUGUGGCGGAAAGGUGUCAAGUCUCGUCCGUUUAGGCGGAGAAGAUAUUAA
rnacentral:ncRNA from 2 species